UGAGAACUUGUGAAAGUUAAUGGUUAACUGUUGGUGGUUGAAAAUUAGCUGGGAGUUCUUUGUUGACUUGUAUGUAGGCUGCAACAUAGUAUAGAGGACUGAACUGAUAUGCUGAUUUUUAUUUCAAAAUUGGUUAUGCAGGGUUUAUGUGACUGGACCGAGGUCGAAUACUGCUGGAAAUUGAUGAUUAUUACUCGGGGAAACAACAGGAAACAGGGUGGUACUGAAACUGAAUGCAGGGAUGAUUUGUGAGCUUGAAUGAUUAGAAAUGUGUAGGUUGCCGUCAUAAUUGUUAACUGUCAAAUGAACCGAACUGCCUAGCAUAGCAGGGACUGUUUUUUGGCUUUAUGAAUGACAUGGGAAAGACUUUGGGAUGAAUAACUCAAGAUGGAAUCAUGGAGAUCCUUAUAGUAAAGCAAAAGGCGGAGUCAGGGUGAAGCUGAAUGAAGACAUAGAAAACUA